CCUCCUGGUUUGUUCAUCUCAUCCUGGGGCUGCCUUUGGGCUGUGGAGUCAUCCUUCCCUGCCCUGCCACUGGGUGCUCGGGCCCAGCUGGAGGCCAAGGCAUGGCAUCCUCCUUGCUGGGGGUGUUCAGGGCACGGCUGUUGGGGAUCAGCCUGUCCUGGCUCUCUUUCUGCAGGCUCAGCUCACUGUAGGCAUGUUCACGGUGUCCCCUUGCUCCGGCUCCAUCGGUCCUUGGGGCCAGCAGAAGAUCACAGUGAAUUGCAACGCAGGAGCAGAGGGGAAAUGCGAGGAGUAGCUGUACAUUGACAUCAGCAACAAAGACCCCAAGGACAAUCCCCUCGGCAUUCCCUUUACCCUGAUUGCCGAGUCCUGCUUCCCAGCGCUUGUUGAAGACGUCACGUCCAUCUUUGAGCAGUACCCGAUCCACAGCAACGUCAAUCUCCGCCAGACGUUACAGUCAGUGCAAGGCAAUGGUGUGUUCAUCAGAGAUGAUAACAAAUUCAUCUUCACCAAAGUUCAGGUUGGGCAACGGGCCACGACUCACUUCAAGAUCUCUAAUGGCAGCAGUGUCCCAUGUGACAUGGUCCUCUCCAUCAAAGCCUUGCCUGGAGAGCCUCACAGCCUCAUCAGCAACAUCUUCAAGUUGGAUCCUGUUGAGAUGAGGAUUCCUGGCUUACCGCACACCUUUGCUACAGUGGCCUUCACUCCAGAACAAAAGGAGGACUACCAGUGCACUUUCACAGCUUCCCUUGUUAGCCCAAAAAGGUAGUGACCCUGUGAAGUAUUGGGGGGACCAUUCUGGUAGCUGCCUCUCCUGUUGGUACCUCUAAUGCUUUCAGUACCCUUAGGCAGAAUACUUGGCAUGAGAUGAUCUAGGAGGUAGUAACUGUUGGGCAGAGCAGAGCAGGAAAAUGAGGAGGAUACUUCAGGCUGUGUGAGGGACUCUGAAGAGAGGGCCUCAGGUAGCCAGCUAGAAGUUACUGACAAGUGCAACAGCUGAGCUGGGGCUUUCCAAGGACAAAGGCUUAGAUGAAGCAGUUUCUGUGCCAGCAAGUCAAGAUUUCCUCCAUAUGUCUGUAAAAGGA